rnacentral:rRNA from 1 species
CAGCCGUAAACUAUGCGCGUUAGGUGUAUCGGUGACCACGAGUCACCGAGGUGCCGAAGGGAAACCGUGAAACGUGCCGCCUGGGAAGUACGGUCGCAAGGCUGAAACUUAAAGGGAAUUGGCGGGGGAGCACCACAACGGGUGGAGCCUGCGGUUUAAUUGGACUCAACGCCGGGAAGCUCACCGGAUAAGACAGCGGAAUGAUUGCCGGGCUGAAGACUCUGCAUGACUAGCUGAGAGGAGGUGCAUGGCGUAGACGUCU